UGGCAAUUGAAAGGAUAGAGACUGAAGAGAUAGGAAGACUUUUCCCUACGCAUUUUAUUAUACUUUUUAAAAAAAUUCAGAAUGGGUUUUGCUUUACUGCCCAGGCUGACCCAGAAUUCCUGGGCUGGAGUGAUCUUCCUGCCUUGGCCUCUAGAGUAGCUGGGACUGCCGAUGGGAUUCCACAGUGCCACACUGUCAGGCUUUCUGAUGUUUGAAUCACAUUAGUGUAGGCUUCUCUCACUGUUGAACCUUUUUUUGUUUUUUUCUGAACUUUUUACUAACCGAAUUACUAAUUCCAAAUUCUCAGGAACAAACAGAUUUGCUUAAAAAUUAACAUCCCUCCCUAUCAGAAUAUUUUGUACCUAGUACUCAAACAAACAAGGCUUUAUAACACGAAACAGAUGUUACUAAGACCGAAAGUCUCCCCUUGCCGGGGAGUGUGUGGCUCUGUACAAUCCUGACCUCCUGCCAGGCCCUACCUCCUGGGCCUGUCCCGCCUCAUCUCCCUUUUCUGGAACCGAAGCCCCAAGGACGGCGGGCCUUUGCUCUCCCCAUCCACACGGGCUGGUGGCCACAGCCGCUGGAGACAGCGGCACCUGACAGCCUCCUUCCCGGGGGGCACUCAGCGCGGGUGGAUGACCCCUUGCUGGGUCUCCCUCUGAGCAGGACGGGGGACAGAAGUGGUCCCAGGAGAUCGCGCAGGGGCUGCUCCCAGCCCUGGCCUCGGCCUCAACCCCCACCCCUGUGGUCCUCUAAGAACCUUCCCCGCGGUCCCCGCCCCGUCCCGUCCCACCCUCUGCUCUGCAAGUGCUGGGUGCUGCCCCGCCCGCUCCAACCUCCUUCUCCCCGGCGCUGGUCGGGUCGGUCUGGAGGGCCAGGUCUGACCGUGAGGCGUUGGCGUUGGCCGGACUGGCUGCGCCGGACGUGGGGCCGCCUCCAUCCAGUCAAGGCGGAGCCGGCAGCCAGCGGCCAGGGGCUGGAGGCCCAGGCGCUUCCAGCCAUGGGCAGGGGCUCGCUGAGAGCUCCGGGAUUGGCGGUGCCGCGGUGGCUGCUGUCACUACUGCUGCUGUCUCGGGGGCCAGUGUCUGGCGCUUGGUUGCUUCCAGGAAAUACUUCUGGAGAGCCAGUCACCACCCCCUGGGUCCUGGAUGGACAACCCUGGCUCACCAUCGUCCUGAAAGAGCCGAUCUCGACACUAGACUCAGGCCUGGUGGCCUUGGAAGCUGAAGGCCAGGAGUUCCUGCUUGAGCUGGAGAAGAACCACAGGCUGCUGGCUGCUGGUUACACAGAAACCCACUAUAGCCAAGAUGGCCAGCCAGUGGUGCUGGUCCCCAACCACAUGGGCGAGACACUUCUGUGGGCUCUGAGGACAGGGUGAGGGUGCUGGGGAUGGCACCUGGGAUAGCUCCUCACGAUCCCUACCCCAACCCUCCAACUCCGUUCCUAGGGGAAGUUGGAGCCACCCCUCCCCUCCCCUUCCUGCUCCCGUUCCCUCUUGGCUUCUGCCCUGGCUGAGGUUUGGGCUCAGGUUCCUUCCUCUCCAGGACCACUGUCACUACCACGGAGAGUGAGGGGCUUCCCCAACUCUUCGGUUAUGCUCAGCACCUGCUCUGGGAUGAGGGGCUUGAUCAGGCUCAACAGCAAUGCCAGCUAUUACCUGCAGCCCCUGGCCACCUGGAGACCCAGAGGACCUCUCAACCCACAGGACUUUCCGGAUGGAGAGGCUGCUCACCUGGAAAGGGACCUGCCAGCUACAGUGACCCCCGAGGACAAAGGGGGCAUGGCCAGGCUUCGUCCUGCCCCUCAGAGCAGGGAGAGGCGAGAAGCCCCCAGGGGCCAGAGGUACCUGGAGCUAUACGUAGUAGCCGACCACCCCCUGUACUUGACCCAGCACCGGAACUUGAACCAUACCAAAGAGCGCGUCUCCUGGAGGUUGCCAGUUAUGCAGACCAGAUCCUCAGGACGCUGGACAUCCAGGUGGUGCUGACAGGCCUGGAAGUGUGGACAGAGCAAGACCACAGCCGCGUCACACCCACGCCUGGCAACGCCACGCUCUGGGACUUCCUGAAGUGGCGCGGGGGCUGUGGGCACGGCUGGCCGCACGACUCGCGCGCAGCUACUCACGGGCUGCACCUUCCGGGGCGCCACUGUGGGCCUGGCGCCCGUCGAGGGCAUGUGUCGCGCAGAGAGGCUCGGGCGGUGUGAGCACGGACCACUCGGAGCUCCCCACCGGCGCUGCGGCCACCAUGGCCCAUGAGAUCGCCACAGCCUGGGCCUCAGCCACGACCUCGAUGGCUGCUGCGUGGAGGUCGCGGCAGAGCAAGGCGGCUGCAUCAUGGCCGCCGCCACGGGUACUCGCGGGCUAGGGCGGGGCCUAGGCUUAUUCCUCUGCGUGCUGCUUCACGUUAUCCCUCAGUUUCUCUUUUGUAAAAUGGUGGUGGUGACAACCACUUGUCCUCAUGGUUGUUUAUGAGGCCUCAGUGGAAGAAACGCAGGUAAAGUGGAUUCUCACGAGUAUGAAGAUUUUGAGAAAAACCUAGCAAGGUUGCUCCAACGCCGGAGCAAACGGCACGCGUAGGGCUGCGGUGUGGCUAACGCCAGGCCUGAGAAUCCAGGCUGAGUGCGGGCUGGGGUGUCCUGCGCUCCCGACGCCUCCCCCCCGCCCCUAGGCACCCGUUCCCGCGCCUCUUCAGCGCCUGCAGCCGCCGCCAACUGCGGGCCUUCUUCCGCAAGGGGGGCGGCGCGUGCCUCUACAACGCCCCAGACCCCGGGCUUCAGAUCCCGCCCACGCGCUGCGGGAACGGCUUCGUGGAAGCGGGCGAGGAGUGCGACUGCGGCUCUGAGCAGAAGUGCCCAGACCCCUGUUGCUUCGCCCACAACUGCUCGUUACAUGCGGGGGCCCAGUGUGCCCACGGGGACUGCUGCGCGCGCUGCCUGCUGAAGCCAGCUGGCUCGCCGUGCCGCCAGGCUGCAGGAGACUGUGACCUCCCUGAGUUCUGCACUGGCUCUUCCCCCACUGUCCCCCGGAUGUUUACCUGCUGGACGGCUUGCCCUGCGCGGGAGGCCAAGGCUACUGCCUGGAUGGCGCGUGUCCCACGCUGGAGCAGCAGUGCGCACAGCUCUGGGGGCCUGGCUCCCGCCCAGCCCCCGAGGCCUGUUUCCAGCUGGUGAACCCCGCGGGAGACGCCACUGGGAAUUGCGGCCAGGAUGGCUCUGGCCGCUUCCUGCCUUGUGCUCAGAGGGACACUCAGUGCGGGAAGCUGCAGUGCCAGGGCGGGGAGCCCAGCCCCCUAGUGCCACACAUCUUGCCUGUGGAGUCCACACUUCACUUAGACGGCCACCAGGUGGCUUGUCGUGCAGCUCUGGUGAUCCCCGAUGCCCAGCUGGACUUGCUGGACUUGGGCCUGGUAGAGCCCGGCACCCAGUGUGGUCCUAGAAUGGUGUGCCAGGACAGGCGCUGCCAGAACACUUCCUCCCAGGAGCUGGAGCGCUGCCUAACUACCUGCCACAACCAUGGGGUUUGCAAUAGCAACCAUAACUGCCACUGCUCUCCAGGCUGGGCUCCACCCUUCUGUGACAAGCCGGGUUCGGUGGCAGUGUGGACAGUGGCCCAGUGCACCCUGAAAAUGGCGACACGUUCCUUCUGGCAGUGCUCUUCAGCUUCCCUGCUCCCUCUGCUCCCCUGGGGUGGGCCUGGCCUGGUGCUACUCCGGCUCCUGGGCUCCACCUCCAGCGAUGCCCCGGGGCUAUAGGAGAGACCAGGAAUGCAGUGGGCCCAAAGAUGGCCCUCUCAGGAACCAUAGCCUGGGUGGCAUUUACCUUGCGCAGUUGGGGUCCGUGGCCAUUGGAGACCCCCAGCCCCUGGAUGCAGAGGCUCCUGCCGACUGUGUCAGCAUUCAUUCUCCACUGUUGCUCCCAGACCCUGAGAACUCUGCCCAAGUUCAGCAGUCACCCUGAGAAGCCUGUGCCCUGCUGCCCUUUUUGAUCUACAAGAAUCUCAGCAGGUCAAGUCUAGACACCAAGAUCCUAUCUGUGGGGGAAAGGUGGCUCCUGAGAUGAGUAGACAGGUGACCACUGACAGCCAUUCCAGGAACUUGGAUCCCAAGGACAGACACAGCGAGUCAACUGAUCUCCUGCACCUUCUGAAGCUUGGAGGUUUCUUCCUGCCUUGUCAAGGAGCUCCAGGACCCAAGCUUCAUCAGAAGUUGCUUGAUGUUGUCCCUGCUCUUGAGGGCUGGGGCAUGCUGGGUACAGCUUCCAGCCCAAGAAUCCAUCCACAAAGGAUUGAAGGUCCCAUAGUCCCCAACCCCCAGCAGGGGAGGCCUCUGUCCUGGGAGCCUGGCUAUGUCUGCUUUGUGCACUUUCCCUCCAUGCAGCUCUCUGGAGGGCAGGGACUCCUGAGACUCAACAUUUCUGAUGGAGCCCACAUUUCCUGGAGCCUGGCCCUUGCAAACAAGCAAGCAAACAAAAUCUUUGAUAUCUCCUUUCUGGUCUCCUCCUACCCGUCCUGUAUCCGGGAAGCUUCUGUAGCCCCUACCCUGACUCCCAGUUCUCCAUCUGAGGUUGUAGAGGGUGUGGCCUUUUGCAGCCCUCUUCACUUGGACUUUACUCAGUCCUCCAUUCUGUAGGAGAGGCCUGAGGAGUCAGGUCAGGAAAGACAGUGUAGAGUCAGAAGAAAGGCAGGCUUCCUGGUGCCUCUGUGAAUCUUUUCUGUUGUAAAUUCAACCCUUGGGGUGUCCUGAGGGGCCACUUGGAGUGAUGUGGUGGGUGGAACCUCCAGUGGUAGCCAGGACACCUGGAUUCAGGAGGGUGUUGCCCAGGUUGAAUUAUCCCUUUGCUUGUCCCUCCUGUCCCUUUGAACAUUCUUGUCUCCUGUUGCUCAUGCCAGAGUUGCUGAGUGAUCUGUAUUAGGCAGCUGUUGCUUUGUAACAAAACCACCUCCAAAACUGAGUUGCUUAAAACAACAGGCAGUACAAUCAUACUUCUGAGGGUGUGAAGAAUUGGAGAAUCUUUGCUGUCUACCAUUGGGAUCCAGAGAAGCGGCAGCCCCAGCUCAUCUAUAGAUUCGUCAUGGUUCCAAUAAACAUCCCAAGACAGUUUUGGUUUUUUGGUGGGGCGGGGGGCUUGACAAACUGCUCCAAAAAUGGACAUGGAACAGCAAAAAUCCAGGAAAAACCAAAAGAAAUUAAAUUAAGAAAAAAGGCCGGGGAUUUAGUUCAGUGGUUCCACCACCUGCCUCUCAAGUGCAAGGACCCAAGUUUGAUCCCAGUACCAAAAAAAUAAAAUAAAUUAAGAAUAAAAUAAGGAACAUUUGGAUGAUGGUAUCAAGAUUUAUUGUAAACUUCUAGUACAGCCAACAGUGAGGGCCACUGUUACUUCAUUACUUACCCUCAAUGCCCAAGCACGAGGGACUAAAUGCAACUACUUUAUGAUGCCACUUCUGUCUCACGGGUACCUGUGGGAUUUUAGUUUAGUGAGAACCCAGAGAAGUUAAGGCCUCUGUGAAAGAAGGUGCUGCUCAGUUCCCUGGAGAGGGAGG
rnacentral:lncRNA from 1 species